GAUGAACGCUGGCGGCGUGCCUAAUACAUGCAAGUCGAGCGAAGCGGUGACGGGUGAGUAACACGUGGAUAACCUCCUAUAAGACUGGGAUAACUUCGCGAAACCGUCUCUAAACCGGAUACUUAUAGAUUGAUCCUCUCUUCAUUAGCUCGUUGGUAAGGUAACGGCUUACACAGUCCACGAUGCAUAGCCGACAUGAGAGGGGGAUCGGCCACACGGGAACUGAGACACGGUGCAGACUCCUGCGGGAGGGAGAAGUAGGGAAUAUUCCGCAAUGGGCGAAAGACUGACGGAGCAACGCCGCGUGAGUGAUGAAGGUCUUCGGAUCGUAAAACUAUGUUAUUAGGGAAGCGGUACCUAAUCAAAAAGCCACAGCUAACUACGUGCCAGCAGCCGCGGUAAUUC
rnacentral:rRNA from 1 species